CAUAGGUUUGGUCCUGGCCCUACUGUUAAUUGUAAUUAGACCUACACAUGCAAGCUUCCACAAUCCGGUGAGAUAUGCCCUACAGAUUACUUACCAUAAUCGUUAAGGAGCGGGCAUCAGGCACACCACAGGUAGCCCAUCACGCCUUGCUUAGCCACACCCCCACGGGAUACAGCAGUGACUAAUAUUAAGCCAUAAACGAAAGUUUGACUAAAUCAUAAUUAAAUCAGGGUUGGUAAAUUUCGUGCCAGCCGCCGCGGUCAUACGAUUAACCCAAGUUAACAGAAAACCGGCGUAAAGCGUGUUUAAGCACAAACCUACAAAUAAAGCUAAGACGCAACUAAGCUGUAAUACGCUAUAGUCAACAUUAAAAUACACUACAAAAGUGGCUUUAAUACCGCUGAAGACACGACAGCUAAGACACAAACUGGGAUUAGAUACCCCACUAUGCUCAGCUUUAAACCAAGAUAAUUAAACAACAAAAUUAUUCGCCAGAGAACUACUAGCAAUCGCUUAAAACUCAAAGGACUUGGCGGUGUCCUAAACCCACCUAGAGGAGCCUGUUCUAUAAUCGAUAAACCACGAUACACCUCACCCCUUCUUGCCAAUACAGCCUAUAUACCGCCAUCGUCAGCUGGCCCCAACAGGGCUAAUAAAGCCAGCAAGAUUACUCAACCGUAAAAACGUUAGGUCAAGGUGUAGCAUAUGAAGGGGGAAGCAAUGGGCUACAUUUUCUAAAUUAGAACAAACGAAUUAUCUUAUGAAACCUAAGACAUAUGAAGGAGGAUUUAGCAGUAAAUUAAGAAUAGAGAGCUUAAUUGAAACAGGCAAUAGGACGCGCACACACCGCCCGUCACCCUCCUCGAUAAAACUGGAUAAAUAACUAAUAACUCCGAGCACAAAAAGAGGAGAAAAGUCGUAACAUGGUAAGUGUACUGGAAAGUGCACUUGGAACAU
rnacentral:ncRNA from 1 species